AGAGAAGCGCAAACGGUGGAUGCCUUGGCAGUAAGAGGCGAAGAAGGACGUGGAAUCCUGCGAAAAGCUAUGGGGAGCUGGAAACGAGCGUUGAGCCAUAGAUGUCCGAAUGGGGGAACCCGGCUGCAGCGAUGCGGUCAUUUGCAUUUGAAUACAUAGGAUGCAAAGGCGAACUCGGGGAACUGAAACAUCUAAGUACCCGAAGGAAAAGAAAUCAAGAGAGAUUCUCCAAGUAGCGGCGAGCGAACGGGGAGGAGCCUGGCGUGAUUUAUUAUUGAACUGAGUAGAACAAUUUGGGAAAGUUGGCCGUAGAGGGUGAAAGCCCCGUAUACGAAGGUUUGAUGAGGAACUAGGCACGCGAACAAGUAGGCCGGGACACGUGAAAUCCUGGUUGAAGAUGGGUGGACCAUCAUCCAAGGCUAAAUACUACUUACUGACCGAUAGUGAACCAGUACCGUGAGGGAAAGGUGAAAAGAACCCCGGAGAGGGGAGUGAAAUAGAAUCUGAAACCGUUUGCGUACAAGCAGUGGGAGCAUAGUUUAGGCUGUGUGACUGCGUACCUUUU
rnacentral:rRNA from 1 species